GAAUAAAUAUGAAAAGUAAAUAAUAUACUGUUACAAAGUAUGUAGUCCUUUAAAAUGCAGAAUCCCAGUUAAACAGAUAUUGCACUCCCUAAGUUCAAAUAUAUUUAAAUCUCAGCAAAUUCUCUGUUCCUAAAAAUCUCAGUAGUGUCUCCAAUAGAUCAUCCAUUCCACCACUUUAGUCCCUUCUUGGUAGCUCUGCCAAGUCACAACGAGCCUUCACAAAGAUGUUCUUGAC